GUGCAGCAGGCGCGAAAACUCUGCAAUGCGCGAAAGCGCGACAGGGUUACCCGAGUGUCGUCCGCUGAGGACGACUUUCCCAGUGUAGAUAGCUGGGGGAAUAAGGAGAGGGCAAGUCUGGUGUCAGCCGCCGCGGUAAUACCAGCUCUCCGAAUGGUGGGGACGCUUAUUGGGCCUAAAGCAUCCGUAGCCGGUCUAACAAGUCCCUUGUUAAAUCCAGCGAUUCAAUCGCUGGACUGCAAGGGAUACUGUUAGACUAGGGGGCGGGAGAGGCCGACGGUAUUCCCGGGGUAGGGGUGAAAUCCUAUAAUCCCGGGAGGACCACCAGUGGCGAAGGCUGUCGGCUAGAACGCGCCCGACGGUGAGGGAUGAAAGCUGGGGGAGCGGAACCGGAUUAGAUACCCCGGUAGU
rnacentral:rRNA from 1 species